rnacentral:lncRNA from 1 species
GCUACUCAUUUUUUCUUUCCAUGCCCCUUGGCAGUCAUCAUUCCACCUGACCAUUUGAUUUCUUUUUUUUCGGCUCAGGCGUUUCUUGUAUUGUUUUUUUUCUCUGUUUUUUUUCUUCUUUUUUUUUUCGCAGGAUCGACCUCGAUUCCUCUGAUUUGCCCACAACAAGCCUCGGCAGUUCACCGGACAGCACUUCAUAAGUGCACUGACUUAGACUCAACAGUAUGAGUUAUCUCAACCGGUCAAACAACUUGAUCAAG